UCAGGUGACUCUGGCCAAGGACUGAGACAGUGGAUCAAGCAGGUACUAAACCAAGACCUAACAUUCCAGCACAUAAAGAUUAUUUAUCCAACGGCUCCCUCCAGGCCAUAUACUCCUCUGAAGGGAGGGUUCUCCAAUGUGUGGUUUGACAGAUUUAAAAUAUCUAACGACUGCCCAGAGCACCUCGAAUCAAUCGAUAGCAUGUGUCAAGUGCUCACCGGAUUGAUUGAUGACGAAGUAAAAAAUGGCAUCGAGAAAAGCAGGAUAUUAAUAGGUGAGGA
rnacentral:lncRNA from 1 species